GUACACUGUGUAGCAAUACAUAGUGUAUUUAGUGGCGGACGGGUGAGUAACACGUAGGUAACCUACCCUCGAGCGGGGGGCAACUCAGGGAAACUUGGGCUAAUACCGCAUAAGACCACAGACUGGGAUGUCAGUGGGAAAAGGAGCAAUCCACUUGGGGAUGGGCCUGCGGCCUAUCAGGUAGUUGGUGGGGUAAUGGCCUACCAAGCCGAAGACGGGUAGCCGGUCUGAGAGGACGAACGGCCACACUGGAACUGAGAUACGGUCCAGACUCCUACGGGAGGCAGCAGUGGGGAAUUUUGCACAAUGGGCGAAAGCCUGAUGCAGCGACGCCGCGUGGAGGAUGAAGGCCUUCGGG
rnacentral:rRNA from 1 species